rnacentral:rRNA from 1 species
UAAGGAAUAUUGGGCAAUGGACGCAAGUCUGACCCAGCCAUGCCGCGUGCAGGAUGAAUGCCCUAUGGGUUGUAAACUGCUUUUAUUCGGGAAAAAACCCUUCGACGUGUCGGAGGCUGAUGGUACCGAAAGAAUAAGGAUCGGCUAACUCCGUGCCAGCAGCCGCGGUAAUACGGAGGAUCCAAGCGUUAUCCGGAUUUAUUGGGUUUAAAGGGUGCGUAGGCGGAAUUGUAAGUCAGUGGUGAAAUCCUACAGCUUAACUGUAGAACGGCCAUUGAUACUGCAAAUCUUGAGUAUAUUUGAAGUGGGCGGAAUGUGUCAUGUAGCGGUGAAAUGCUUAGAUAUGACACAGAACACCGAUUGCGAAGGCAGCUCACUAAACUAUAACUGACGCUGAGGCACGAAAGCGUGGGGAGCAAACAGGAUUAGAUACCCUGGUAGUCCACGCCCUAAACUAUGAUUACUCGAUGUGUGCGAUACACUGUACGCGUCUGAGCGAAAGCAUUAAGUAAUCCACCUGGGGAGUACAUCGCAAGACG